CCUGCCGCUGGACGGACGGACCGCGAGGGUUGGGGAACCCGAUGACCGGCCCGGUCCGAGGGAGCACGGGUCUUAGGGAGCCCGCUGCUCCCGUUCCGGCGAAGGAG
rnacentral:sRNA from 1 species